GCCGAAGUGGCGAAAUUGGCAGACGCGCUACGUUCAGGUCGUAGUGAGGGUAACCUCUUAAGGGUUCAAGUCCCUUCUUCGGCA
rnacentral:tRNA from 1 species